rnacentral:rRNA from 1 species
GACGAACGCUGGCGGCGUGCUUAACACAUGCAAGUCGAACGGAAAGGCCCUGCUUUUGUGGGGUGCUCGAGUGGCGAACGGGUGAGUAACACGUGAGUAACCUGCCCUUGACUUUGGGAUAACUUCAGGAAACUGGGGCUAAUACCGGAUAGGAGCUCCUGCUGCAUGGUGGGGGUUGGAAAGUUUCGGCGGUUGGGGAUGGACUCGCGGCUUAUCAGCUUGUUGGUGGGGUAGUGGCUUACCAAGGCUUUGACGGGUAGCCGGCCUGAGAGGGUGACCGGCGAGAUUGGGAGUGAGAUACGGCCCAGAGUGCUACGGGAGGCAGCAGUGGGGAAUAGUGCACAAUGGGCGGAAGCGUGAUGCAGCAACGCCGCGUGCGGGAUGACGGCCUUCGGGUUGUAAACCGCUUUCGCCGGUGACGAAGCGUGAGUGACGGUAAUGGGUAAAGAAGCACCGGCUAACUACGUG